UACAGAGGCCUCGAGCGUUAGGCGGAAUCACUGGGCUUAAAGCGUGUGUAGGCGGAUCGUUAAGUGCCUUGUGAAAUCCCACGGCUUAACCGUGGAACUGCUUGGCAUACUGGCGGUCUUGAGCCACUUAGGGGCGACCGGAACAAGCGGUGGAGCGGUGAAAUGCGUAGAUAUCGCUUGGAACGCCGAAGGUGAAAACAGGCUGCUGGGGUCGCGCCGACGCUGAGACACGAAAGCCAGGGGAGCAAACGGG
rnacentral:rRNA from 1 species